GAAUUUCCAAAAUGAUUUGUUUAUGUCACUAAUGUCAGACAUCUUAUUGAACUGCCAAGCCUUUACUUAAAACAGUCUAGCAGACGUCAUCAUGUCACGAGGAAAACAAGACGACUACGAUUGCAUUCAACGAAAUUUUAUUUUUUUAAAGAAAGAGUUGGAGGCAAGAGACCUCGUUGAUUUUUUGUUUCAAUACGGGGUAAUUUCAUUGGACGAAAAAGAACACAUUGAGAACAAAGACAAAAAAGAAAACAGAAAUGAUAUAUUAUUAAAAUUAAUACUUAGUGCUGGACCACAUGAUGCAUUCGACAUUUUUCUUCAGUCAUUAGAAGCUAGAUACCGACAUGUCAAAAUGCAACUAAUGCAAACAGAUUGUUUUGAAAAAGAAAGCAAGAACUCUAAAGAUUAUAUUGCCCAGGUUAGUGUACAGGUACAAGGUUAUGAUGACAAGAUCAAGUUGUUGGAAAUAGAGAAUGAUUAUUUUGCAUUUUGAUUCCAAUCAACACAUUUCAACACUGUUCAUGAUAAUAAUUGUGAUUUGUGAAGGACUUCGUAGCGGGCCUACUCUAUCAAACAAACAAAAAAAAAAAGAAUUCGUAUGUGACUGGACAUGUCUUCUAUAGGAACGUUGUUGUUGAUCCCUUUACUACACAAUAACGUCGAUCAAGAAAUAAAAUGGCUUAAUUUUCUUUUUGUCGUUUAGUGACAUCUACUAGAAGCACUAUAGACAGAUGAAGGAUAUUUACGACCAUGCUUUAGAUUAGUAUUUGAAAAGUGUAAAAAUUAUUUUUAUUUACUCACGACGCUCAAAGUGUUGCCUUUUAAGAGAAUAAUAUAAAUCUCGAAACAAUUUACUGGCAUUCAUGCUGCCCUUUCGGUGGCCCUGACGGCCCAUUUGGAUACCGGCCCACCGGGCAUUUGCCCGAAUGCCCAUAUAGCCAGUCCGCCCCUGCAUGAGUCUUAUAGAAAAAUGAUUUUUAUUUAAUCUACAUCGUAUAAUUUGUAAGAAAAAUGUCUGAAUAAGAUGUUAUCCAUUGUAUAUGUAUUUAUGUUUUUUAUUUGUAACCUUUUAUUCCGUAUUAAAAAAAUAAUUGGUAUCCCUAUAUUAAUGAAAAGUUAAUGUGUAACAAAUCUAUACUUGUUUUUUUGUGUCUAAUUGAUCAUGUCUUGGAAAGUAAAUCCAAUUAAAAAAAAAACGUAUUUAGAUUUAGAGUUUUGACUAAUCUAUUCAUAGAGUCUAGUCCUAGAUCUAGAUUUUGGUCUAGAGUCUAGACUAGUCUAGAUCUAAUCUUGGUCUAGAGUAUGGACUAGUCUAGAUCUAAUCUUGAUCUGGAGUCUGGACUAGUCUAGAUCUAAUCUUAGUCUAGAGUCUGGACUAGACUAGAUCUAAUCUUGGUCUGUAGUCUGGACUAGUCUAGAUCUAAUCUUGGUCUGGACUAGUCUAGAUAUAAUCUUGGUCUAGACAUCUAGAACGAUGGUAAGUCACGUUAUUCGAUAAAACUUAAAACCAAAGAACUUCUUAAAAAAGAAGCCAUGUAUGCCUAAUAGGUUAUUGGGCAGGCUAUCUAGAUUUACAUUAUAAUACAUGUAGAUCUAGAUUAUUCUAGAUCUAAGUCUAAUAGUCUAUGUAAAUCUAGAUGUUUUUUUAGAUUUGAAACAUACAUCUUUUCGAUGAUUUUAUUAGCACAUCAUACACUACUUCACUUUAACCUAUCCCUUAGUAUGACAAACCGUUGGGGGCACCACACAUGAUCUAUACGACAGUACGUAUUGGUCCUCUACUCGGUAAAACAUCACUCCUCUUCCUCUACAUCCUUUUUUUACCUAGGACUUCUUUUAAUGACAGGCAAGACCAUUUUUUUAGCGGCCCCCGUAAGGGGAAAAAGCCGCUAUUAGGUUUGUGCAAAAUGUCCGUCUGUCCGUCUGUCUGUCUGUCCGUCUGUCACACUCAGAUCUCGAAAACUAGAAGAGAUAUGAAAAAUAUUAUUUCAUCAUUAAAUGCGGCUUGAAAAGUUUAGGUGCAACGGCUACUUUUGGUUUUCUAAAAGCAAACCGUUUAAUUUAUAAAAUUAAUUAUGCAAGCGAUUUUUUCAUAAAAAUACACCAAUUCUAAAACAAUUACGUAAAUGUAAGGGAGGCAAUGUUACAAUAUGCUAACAAAGAUGGACAAUAUUUGUGUAUUUUCAGUAUCACUAAGUCAAAUAUAUUUUUAAAAUGUACAGGAAAUGUUUACAACAAAUAUAAAUAAUAGUUAAAGAUGUUUUUUUAUGGUCAACUAGCUGCUAAAAUUAAAAGAAAACAUUUCUGUUUGUUUAUAAAGGCUAAUAAUGCACUUUGUAUGUAAAUAUCACGCACAUUUUUUUUUAAAUGGACUUUUUAUGCUGCGAUUUUCGUGCAGUAGCGUAACGUCGCAACAUGAUCAGGUGCUAAACCAAUUCCUUAAACUUUUUUUAAAAAUCAGAUUUUAUUUAUUUUUUGUUUAGUGCCCCCAUCCGAAUAAAAGAAGAUUAUUUUUGUGCGUUUUGUCUGUUGGUCGGUCUUUCCGUCACGAUUAGACUAACAGACAAAACUAGAGGCUAUUGUAAAUCUGUUUAACCUUUACUUUUUAAUUCAGAAAUAUUGCAAUAGUUUUAAGUAUCUAUAAUAGAUUGUUCCGGAUGUUUUGUGAAAAACAAAUCAAUGCCAAUGAAUAUUUGUUUGCUCUUCUAAUUUAUAUUAGAUUUUAUUUUCAUGCUUAAACGUUGCAAGAAACACAUGAUCUUUAAUAUAUCGUUCCGGUUUUGUAAUGUAAAUAGCAUAUAAGUGCUAAAUAAAAAUAUCUAUACUGAUUUAUAUUUCAUUAACAAUAAAGUUGUUCCGGAUCUUGUUUAAUAAAAAACAAAUUAUAUCAAAUGAUUGUUUGAAAUCGCAUAAUUGACUAAUAUUACACUUAUAUUCUUUGACUCUACGUCACUAUAGUUUAUGUAUCAAUAUCAAUUGUUCGGAUUUUUUAACAAAUGUAUGUCAAAUAAUUUUUUUUUCAAAAGUAUCGACAAUAGGUUAUUCAGGAUUUUAAAAUAAGAAAGUAAUUUACUAGAAACGAUUAUUGAAAAUCAAUUUUUAGACUUAUUUUACAGUUAAUUUUCUUGCCGAAACAUAAUAAUAGUUGUUUAAUCGGUAAAGCAUGUUCCGGAUUUUGUUUCGAAAAAGAAAUCGACAUACAUUACCUUAAUUUUCUUACAAAUCGUCGCCAAAAAUGAUCCGAAUUUUAUAUGAAAAAUCUAAUAACGCUAAUAAAUGUUUGAAAUCACUCUUCCAAUAAAUAAAACAAAUAAUUUUCUCAUUUACGAAAAUUGG